AGCAGCCGCGGUAAUUCCAGCUCCAAUAGCGUAUAUUAAAGUUGUUGCAGUUAAAAAGCUCGUAGUUGAAUUUUGGAUUCUACCAAUUGGUCCAUCUUUUAGAUGAGUACUGGUUGUGUGGGGUCUAUCCGCCUGGUGAUACGUAAUGUCCUUUAUUGGAUGUUGCGGGUAGUCAGGACCUUUACCUUGAAAAAAUUAGAGUGUUUAAAGCAGGCUUAUGCCGGAAUACAUUAGCAUGGAAUAAUAGAAUAGGACGAAGUUGUUUUAUUUUGUUGGUUUCUAGGACAACCGUAAUGAUUAAUAGGGAUAGUUGGGGGCAUUAGUAUUCAAUUGUCAGAGGUGAAAUUCUUGGAUUUAUUGAAGACUAACUACUGCGAAAGCAUUUGCCAAGGAUGUUUUCAUUAAUCAAGAACGAAAGUUAGGGGAUCGAAGACGAUCAGAUACCGUCGU
rnacentral:rRNA from 1 species